AGAGUUUGAUCAUGGCUCAGGAUGAACGCUAGCGGCAGGCUUAAUACAUGCAAGUCAAACGGUUGUAGCAAUACAAUAGUGGCGCGCGGGUUGAGUAACGCGUACAUAACUUGCCUCAUAUUGGGGGAUAGCUUUGGGAAACUGGAGUAAUACCGCAUAUUAUUAGGAGAUGGCAUCAUUUUUUAAUAAAAGCUACGGCGAUAUGAGAUAGGUGUGCGUGCCAUUAGGUAGUUGGUAAGGUAACGGCUUACCAAGCCUACGAUGGCUAGGGGGCGUGAGAGCGUGACCCCCCACAUGGACACUGAGACACGGGUCCAACUCCUACGGGAGGCAGCAGUAAGGAAUAUUGGUCAAUGGACGCAAGUCUGAACCAGCCAUGCCGCGUGAAGGAAUAAGGUUCUCUGAAUCGUAAACUUCUUUUAUGUGGGAAGAAAAUGUCAGAUUCAUCUGGCACUGACGGUACCAUGUGAAUAAGCACCGGCUAACUCCGUG
rnacentral:rRNA from 1 species